GGGCCCGCACAAGCGGUGGAGCAUGUGGUUUAAUUCGAUGAUACGCGAGGAACCUUACCAGGGCUUAAAUGGAAAAUGACAGGGGCAGAGACGCCCCCUUCUUCGGACAUUUUUCAAGGUGCUGCAUGGUUGUCGUCAGCUCGUGCCGUGAGGUGUCAGGUUAAGUCCUAUAACGAGCGCAACCCCUACCGUUAGUUGCCAGCGAGUAAUGUCGGGGACUCUAACGGAACUGCCGGUGCAAACCGUGAGGAAGGUGGGGACGACGUCAAAUCAUCACGGCCCUUACGUCCUGGCCACACACGUGCUACAAUGGUAGUGACAAUGGGUUAAUCCCAAAAAGCUAUCU
rnacentral:rRNA from 1 species